CUCAGGUGACUUUGCAUGGUUAAUAUUAGGAAGCUCAUGUUAUGGGGGAGGAAGUGUAAAGAGAAUGAACAUCUCUUAAGGAGUAUAAAAGAAUAUGGAAAAUUUCAUCUCUCUGCAAAAUUACAGAUAUCCAAUGAUCCUACGCUGCAUUUUGUUAUCUUAUUCCUUCAGUCUCCACUGGUAUGUGACAAUUGCCUAGUGUUUCCUUAGUUUUUCAUUACCUUUGGAAGUUCUGGCCAGAUGUCCUGUAGAAUGUCUCCCAAAUGGAGUUUGAUGUCUUUCUCAUCAUUAGAUUUCAGUUCCAGAUUUCGUGGAAGAAUAUUACAGCUAGAAGGAGAAAGAAAGAUGAAAAUUACCUCAAUUAGGGUUUCUUCUUGCUCAGCAACUAGUGCAUGUUGGAUGAGAUGGACACAGAUCAUAUGGUCAGACUAGAGUUGGCUGACCAAGCUGAACCUGUUAGUCUCUCUGAGACUUUGGGAUCCAGGAUAGAAAUUCUAGGUACAGUUGGAGGAAGUUAUAAAUGGAGGAAGGGAAAGUUCAGACUGAGACUUGCUACUAGAAGACCAGGAACAGAUAUGAAAUGCAGAAGAAAUUAACACAUCUCACCCCAAGAGCUCCGGAAAGUGGAUGCAUUUCAGGAGAUUGGCUGAAUGAAUAUACCUUGUCUGCUGCAAGUUCAUAUUACUGAAAGGAUCUUUGCCUGGAAACCCAGUUCUUCCCAUUAUACCACUCUGAUUGUUCUCUUUACUAAUGAUGGAUUACAAUCUUUCUAAUGCUAGACCUUGGUCUCCCACUGAGAAAGUGCCUUGGGGUGCUUAAUCCUGUCCUGGUAACAGUAUGGACUUAAAUGGUGCUCUAAGAUUCCUCCUGAUUUAAAUUGACUUGCAUUUGUGAGACCACAUUUGAAUUUGUAACCUAACAAAGAGCCACUGACUAUUUUGAAAGAACAGGACUUUCACAUGAUCAACCCCUCUCCUUGAAAUGCUUACAAAAUAAUCUUUCUUCUAAGGUCUUUGUAUUUCCUGAGACAAGCUUUCUUCCUCUUGCUUUUUCCUGAAUGAGGAAGUACUUAUAAUCUCACCUCUUAAAUUACAUUUUAAGGCCUCACAAACCACAGUAAAGGAAGGGACAGAGUCAGCUCUAAUUUCAUAAACUAUCUGUAAGAGAAUUAAUUGCAACCUGACUUAUUUUUUUCUUUUCACAAAGAAGCUGUAAAGGAAUCCCAUAAAUUUUGAAGGAGGAAUAAAUUCUCUCUUAAAGGAGUAAAACUGUAGUAAAAUAUUAAAAUAGCACAAAUUAAAGUUGACUGGAAUCUCCUGUAAAAUCAAACCAAGGAAAAGAGUAGUAAAUAUCACUCUGCAGAAAAAUUAGUGUCUCUCCAGCAAUAAAACCAACUAAAAGAUUACAUUUAAAUAUAAACUAUAUAAAGCCUUCUGAUUCAAGAUACACAAAAAUGAAUUCAGUCAAGUAUAUUUGUUAACCAAACAUCUUUAGAAAACUGAAUCUUCAAAGGUGAUAUUUAUAUCGUCUUACAUCAAAUUAUUUGAUAUUAGUUGUUUGUCAUUACUUAGGACACUAUCCUCUCUACAUUUUACAUAUAAGAUUCAAUUAAAUCCUCAUGAAACUUAAUGACCUAAUAUUCACUAAAAUAUUCAUAUGGAGAACAAUUCUUUUGAAUCAAAGACCAGAAUGUGAGUCUUCCCUCUGCCACUAAUUGGCAUGUUAUUUGAAUUUUCUGUAUUCUGUAUUCCAGCUUCCCCUGGAUAGGAACAAUAUUUGUAUUCAUCCUUAUAAGGAUGGUGAAAAGAUUAUGAGUUAGUAGACAUGAAGAAUUUGGAGCAAGCUAUGGUUUGAAUACAGUUUAUCCCUGCCACAACAUGGAGUAUUAUUCUCUAGCUGUAGCAAUGUUGGGAAAUGGAGCCUGGUGGCAAGUGCUAGCUUCUUGGGAAUAGAGUCUUCCUGAAUGGAACAAUCUUUUCUCAAGGGAAUGCCUUAGCUAUUGCAAGAAAUUGGCCCUCUUUCCUCUCUUUGCAUAAACCAUUUGCCCUUCUGCUUUUCCACCAAACAUGGAGCAGCAUGAGACUCUCACCAGAGGCCCAAUAGAAGACGGUGCCAUGCUGUUGGACUUUCGGAACCAGAAUGCAAAAUAAGCCUCUUCUCUUUAUUAAUUACCCACUCUCUCAUGUACUCUGUUAUAGCAGCAGAAAUAAACUUUGAAUAAUAGAAAACUUUUAAAAAGUUAGUCAAUAUUUAUUGUGACAGUAACUAUGAAUAUUAUUUUGACUUACUGAAAUGUUUUAUUUUUAAUAAGUCAGUAAUAUCUUUUGACCUAAGCUGUCUCAUCCAUAAAAUUAUGAUUAUUGUGCUAAGUCAUGAUUUUAUAUUCUUUUCCAGUUCUAAAAAUUAAUAAUUCUGGGGCUUUAAUAUAAACAAUCUGAAGACUUAUAAAUUCUACUCAAAUAUUUGGAUAGUGCCCCCCCACCCCGUGCUACUAAAAAGUAACAACGAUAGAAGUGAUCUAAAAUAAUGGAAAGUAUACUGAAGAAUUUGGAUAGGGGUGCAGUUAUCUUUUAGACUCAACUCUAACAAUGGCUACCUUUGUCAUUUUGUAAAGAUACAUAUCUAUGACCUGUGAGUCUCUAUAAAGUAAAGAUCAAGCCUAUCAUUUUAUACCCAUGAAAAAAUGAAGAAUAUAAUGAUUUUAAAAGAUCUCACAGUUUUCCCCCCAUGGGAUUUCACAAAUCCUUGUAUUCUACCAACUUCUGUAUACUCUAGUAAUUAGGUGCCAUGGGUAGCACUUAAAAUGUUACCAAUCAGGUUUAAAACACAAGAUGUAAUGUGAAUUAUAUGCCAUACCAUGUUUCCCCAGAAAGCAAAUUUUCUUCCAAAUUAAUAAAAUGAGAGAAAGAGCAGAAAACCAGAGAAUCUUUCAGCACUUGGGGAACAAAAAUACAAGACAAGAGUUAUAUAACCUACAGCAAGUUUUUUGGCUAAGUUUGUAAAUUUUAGUAACCUCUAAUUUACAUGUGCUUUCUUUGGAAUUUUAAAAGUCUGCCCAAUUUUGUCUGGUUUGGGAGCAUCAUCUCCAGAGGUCAAACAGUUCUUUUGACAUAUUGACAAGUUCCUCCAAUCCAGUUUGAUGGACUAGAGCUUCACUUUCAGACCUAACUUCAUUUUUUAAACCAAAUGUCCUACUGCAAACUGUAAAGAUUUAUGGUGAGUGAUCUAGAGGUCUUCUUCCUCUGUUUAAUUUGAUCAUAGAUUUGAAAAUACUAAGUGAUGUGUCUCAUGAUAUGGGUAAAUUGACAUCUGUAAAAAAUAAUUUCAGACCCUAAAAGCAGACUGAGUUUAGAACACUUAGUGAAAAAAUUAUUUGGCAUUAAUUAAUUAAACAUUUUUCUAAUGUUUAAUAUUGUUUAUUGUUGCCUGUUUUUUUUUGCAUUUUAUAUUUUUGUGUUCUGCGAUGAAUUAAAUAACUGCACAUAUUUUGUUUUUCUUGAGAUUACCAAGGCGUGUGUAUUAAAUAGUUAUUUUCUGUUCAUUAGUUCACUGAAAGUGUUAAUUUUUUUUUCUGUGUGUAUUCUGUUUUGGAAGAAUUGAUCAAUGUAAGACCAUUUCUUUGGAAUAUAAAA